rnacentral:lncRNA from 1 species
UAUACCAAAUAUUUAUAAAGGAUAUCCGUGUAUGUGAUUACUUUUACAAAUUUCCGCAGGUUUGGGACAGAUAAUGAGAUAAUGUAUGGUAUUAACGAAAAACAAGUGUUUAUGCGGUUCUUGUAAUUCUAGAAUCAUUACAUACAAGACCAUUUUCAAUACUUUAAGAUAGUAUUUAAUCAAGGGUAAAAUCGUCAAACACCUAUACUUAAUGAAAAAAAAGGGUCCAAAAAAGGGAUAACAAACAAUUAUGAAUCUUCCACCACAUUUAGAGCUUAAAUUUCUCUACUUAGAAAAUUGAGAAAAGCCCUAGAGCUUUGAAGCAGCCUGGUUAUCCAAAAACCACACAAGUUUCCCUACAGUUGGUUCAAUCAUCCUAGCUGGCAAAACCGGACACUCGGGUCCCACAUCACCUAUCGCCAUCCGGGAAGCCUCCGCUUUCCCGCCACCUGUCACCACCACCACCACAUUGGCGGCAGAGUUGAUAACAGGCAGUGUGAAGGUGAUUCUUUCGGGCGGAGGCUUAGGGGACGUGGUGAUAAAUGUCACCCAUUCGUUCUUUUCUUCAAGAGCCGAAUGAUUCGGAAACAAAGAUGCCACGUGCCCAUCCGGACCCAUCCCUAGAAGAAUUAAGUCAAACUUCGGGCAGUCGCUGACCUCGGAUACGUCGACCACACGGGUCCUGACUAGUUGCCUGAUCACAAACUCGUAUUCGUUUGCAGCUUCUUCUGCGGUUAGAGAAUCAUUGAUGGAAUGUACAUGACUAGGUACAAUAGGUAAGUUACCUUGGACAAAAGAUGAUCUUUAGCAAGCUUAUAGUUGCUAUCAACAUGAUUCUUGGCAACCACUCUUUCAUCUGCCCAAAAUAUAUACCAUUUUGACCAGUCAACAGUCUUGUUAUAAGGAGCUCCACAUAGAUUCCUGUUUUCACCUCAAAUUACAAUAUUCAAAAGGGAAAUUUUGACACAUAAACACAUGAUCAAACAUGAUUUUCUACCUCAUCAAGCUAAUGAUGGAGCCACCCGACAACGCAAUGGCGA